UACGGGGGGGGCAAGCGUUGUUCGGAAUUACUGGGCGUAAAGGGCGCGUAGGCGGCCUGUUAAGUCGAACGUGAAAUCCCCGGGCUCAACCCGGGAACUGCGUCCGAUACUGGCAGGCUUGAAUCCGGGAGAGGGAUGCGGAAUUCCAGGUGUAGCGGUGAAAUGCGUAGAUAUCUGGAGGAACACCGGUGGCGAAGGCGGCAUCCUGGACCGGCAUUGACGCUGAGGAGCGAAAGCGUGGGUAGCAAACAGG
rnacentral:rRNA from 1 species